AAAGUACUCCCUCUGUCCCAAAAUUCUUGUCUUAGAUCUGUCUAAAUACGGAUGUAUCAAGUCAUGUUUUAGUAUUAGAUACAUCCGUAUCUAGACGAAUCUAAGACAAGAAUUUUGGGACGGAGGGUGUACCAA
rnacentral:pre_miRNA from 1 species